CCUACGGGAGGCAGCAGUGGGGAAUAUUGCACAAUGGGCGCAAGCCUGAUGCAGCCAUGCCGCGUGUGUGAAGAAGGCCUUCGGGUUGUAAAGCACUUUCAGCGGGGAGGAAGGCGUUAAGGUUAAUAACCUUGGCGAUUGACGUUACCCGCAGAAGAAGCACCGGCUAACUCCGUGCCAGCAGCCGCGGUAAUACGGAGGGUGCAAGCGUUAAUCGGAAUUACUGGGCGUAAAGCGCACGCAGGCGGUCUGUCAAGUCGGAUGUGAAAUCCCCGGGCUCAACCUGGGAACUGCAUUCGAAACUGGCAGGCUAGAGUCUUGUAGAGGGGGGUAGAGUUCCAGGUGUAGCGGUGAAAUGCGUAGAGAUCUGGAGGAAUACCGGUGGCGAAGGCGGCCCCCUGGACAAAGACUGACGCUCAGGUGCGAAAGCGUGGGGAGCAAACAGGAUUAGAUACCCUUGUAGUC
rnacentral:rRNA from 1 species